rnacentral:rRNA from 1 species
AACGCUGGCGGCAGGCCUAGCACAUGCAAGUCGAACGGUAACAGGAAACAGCUUGCUGUUUCGCUGACGAGUGGCGGACGGGUGAGUAAUGUCUGGGAAACUGCCUGAUGGAGGGGGAUAACUACUGGAAACGGUAGCUAAUACCGCAUAACGUCGCAAGACCAAAGAGGGGGACCUUCGGGCCUCUUGCCAUCGGAUGUGCCCAGAUGGGAUUAGCUAGUAGGUGGGGUAACGGCUCACCUAGGCGACGAUCCCUAGCUGGUCUGAGAGGAUGACCAGCCACACUGGAACUGAGACACGGUCCAGACUCCUACGGGAGGCAGCAGUGGGGAAUAUUGCACAAUGGGCGCAAGCCUGAUGCAGCCAUGCCGCGUGUAUGAAGAAGGCCUUCGGGUUGUAAAGUACUUUCAGCGGGGAGGAAGGGAGUAAAGUUAAUACCUUUGCUCAUUGACGUUACCCGCAGAAGAAGCACCGGCUAACUCCGUGCCAGCAGCCGCGGUAAUACGGAGGGUGCAAGCGUUAAUCGGAAUUACUGGGCGUAAAGCGCACGCAGGCGGUUUGUUAAGUCAGAUGUGAAAUCCCCGGGCUCAACCUGGGAACUGCAUCUGAUACUGGCAAGCUUGAGUCUCGUAGAGGGGGGUAGAAUUCCAGGUGUAGCGGUGAAAUGCGUAGAGAUCUGGAGGAAUACCGGUGGCGAAGGCGGCCCCCUGGACGAAGACUGACGCUCAGGUGCGAAAGCCGUGGGGGGCAAACAGGAUUAGAUACCCUGGUAGUCCACGCCGUAAACGAUGUCGACUUGGAGGUUGUGCCCUUGAGGCGUGGCUUCCGGAGCUAACGCGUUAAGUCGACCGCCUGGGGAGUACGGCCGCAAGGUUAAAACUCAAAUGAAUUGACGGGGGCCCGCACAAGCGGUGGAGCAUGUGGUUUAAUUCGAUGCAACGCGAAGAACCUUACCUGGUCUUGACAUCCACGGAAGUUUUCAGAGAUGAGAAUGUGCCUUCGGGAACCGUGAGACAGGUGCUGCAUGGCUGUCGUCAGCUCGUGUUGUGAAAUGUUGGGUUAAGUCCCGCAACGAGCGCAACCCUUAUCCUUUGUUGCCAGCGGUCCGGCCGGGAACUCAAAGGAGACUGCCAGUGAUAAACUGGAGGAAGGUGGGGAUGACGUCAAGUCAUCAUGGCCCUUACGACCAGGGCUACACACGUGCUACAAUGGCGCAUACAAAGAGAAGCGACCUCGCGAGAGCAAGCGGACCUCAUAAAGUGCGUCGUAGUCCGGAUUGGAGUCUGCAACUCGACUCCAUGAAGUCGGAAUCGCUAGUAAUCGUGGAUCAGAAUGCCACGGUGAAUACGUUCCCGGGCCUUGUACACACCGCCCGUCACACCAUGGGAGUGGGUUGCAAAAGAAGUAGGUAGCUUAACCUUCGGGAGGGCGCUUACCACUUUGUGAUUCAUGACUGGGGU